rnacentral:rRNA from 2 species
AUUGUCAGCUAAGUGGCGCACGGGUGAGUAAUAUAUAGGUAACGUGCCCUAGAGAAGAGGAUAACAUCUGGAAACGGUUGCUAAGACUCUAUAUGCCUUUAAGUCAUAAGACUGCAAGGGAAAUAUUUAUAGCUCUAGGAUCGGCCUGUACGGUAUCAGCUUGUUGGUGAGGUAAUGGCUCACCAAGGCAAUGACACCUAACUGGUUUGAGAGGAUGAUCAGUCACACUGGAACUGAGACACGGUCCAGACUCC